GAGACUUAUAUGAUACGCUAUAAAAACCGACACCACCCUCACUUCCAAACCCGCACCUCUCACCUUCUUAUGUUUCGAUAAACAACCCACCGGAGACGGUCAUCGCCGGAGUUUUUACGAUCCGUUUUACCACCCCCCACCGUUGCAGCACUCGCCGGAAUCCUCAGUCGCCGUCGGAGAAGUCUCAUCUUCGACGACACCGGAACUCUCUUCCCGGAGACCACCGCCACUGCCACCGGAGCUCCGCCGACAUCUCGCCGGAGAAGACGACUUCGUCCGGGUAAUUCUCUUGUGCACGUUCCUUUGGAAAAUCCCUGAUUCUUUAUCUUUUCCAAGAAAUACGCAACGCACUCUAAGGUUGAAUGAUCAAGAAAACAAGAAUCAAGCUAGGAUGGACAUUAGAAACCCACUUAGCAUCUUGAUUAUUGUUAAAUGUUAUGUUUAUUUAUUUGGAACUAUGUAUCCCAUUUUGAGAUUUAAUGAAAUCAAUUAAUUCAUAUUG